GGCAGCAGCCGCGGUAACACCGGCAGCUCUAGUGGUAACAAUUUUAUUGGGCCUAAAGCGUCCGUAGCCGGUUUAAUAAGUCUCUGGUGAAAUCCUGUAGCUUAACUGUGGGAAUUGCUGGAGAUACUAUUAGACUUGAGACCGGGAGAGGUUAGAGGUACUCCCAGGGUAGAGGUGAAAUUCUGUAAUCCUGGGAGGACCGCCUGUUGCGAAGGCGUCUAACUGGAACGGUUCUGACGGUGAGGGACGAAAGUUAGGGGCGCGAACCGGAUUAGAUACCCGGGUAGUCCUAACUGUAAACGAUGCGGACUUGGUGUUGGGGUGGCUUUGAGCUGCUCCAGUGCCGAAGGGAAGCUGUUAAGUCCGCCGCCUGGGAAGUACGGUCGCAAGACUGAAACUUAAGGAAUUGGCGGGGGAGCACCACAACGCGUGGAGCCUGCCGGUUUAAUUGGAUUCAACGCCGGACAUCUCACCAGAGGCGACAGCUGUAUGAUAGCCAGGUUGAUGACUUUGCUUGACUAGCUGAGAAGAGGUGCAUGG
rnacentral:rRNA from 1 species